GUACCAGUGGAUGCACCAUCGCUCGCUACUGGCAGAGUCAUACCGCUGCCAACCAUAUCCUGAGGCAACCAUAUCUUGCAGUGCAGACCCUUUUUCCGAGCGGUUCAGCGGAGCAUGCACAGGUAUGGAAAUCCCUCAUCUUGCCUCCAUUUCGCAUGCGCUAAAUUUCGUUUCAGGUAAGAAAUUUAUGAGUAGAAUCUCCAUGUGACAACCAUGCUCAAGAGUGAGUAAAGAAGAUAUUAAAAUCUCCAUGCUGCAGCCACUUUUUCAUAGAGCUAGAGAUUGGGAUUUGGGGAAUAUUAUUAGAGGGAUUAGAUUUGAGGAUCACGUCUUCUAAAAAUCUGUACUAUGAGAGAGGUGAGGGUAGAUUCAAUAAAUUUUAAAAUCUUUUUCAAGUGGAAUCAAUGGAUGAUUACAUGGUGCAGGCUAUCCAUUAUCCAUUGCUAAUCGCUAAAAAUAUAUAAACAUGAUCUGAUAUGUAUUAUUUGCUCUCAACAUUUUCUCAAGUUAUGAAAAUUUUAAUGUAGAAAAAAUCUUUAUAAAUACUCCCUCUGUCCCAAAAUAUAAAAAUGUUUUUAACACUACACAAGUGUCAAAAACGUUCUUAUAUUAUGGGACAGAGGGAGUACUAAAGAUUAAUUUCAUGGUUACAGAUUUGAUAAUGGAAAAUGGAAUAUUUUGUUGAAAGAUUAAAGAUUCAUAUAUGUUGGUACGUACACGUACAUUUUGUUGGUUGAGUCCUCUUUCAUUUUGUUGGUACACGUACAUUUUGUUGGUUGAGUAGGCUACGCAUCAGAUUUGAUCGAGUAAGCCGACGUCGCCUCUUGAGCUCCCUCCUCCACCAACGGGCUGGGAUCCCUCGUGCACCACCAAUCCAGGCUCCCUAGCCGGCGCUCCUCCACGCCCACGCCAGGUGACAUGCCGCCCGCCGCCGUUCGAGCUCCCUUACCGGUGCUCCUCCAUGCCCACGCCGGGGGACACGCCGUCCGCCACCUAUCGAGAGGAAGAAGGGGAGAGUAGAGCACCUGCGCUGCGAGCCGCAAUGGGAACUGCGUUUCUCCAUCUCUCUCCCCUCAAAUGGCGGCACCGCUCCCAAUCUUCCCGGCGUGCAUGUUUGCCCUUCAACUCUGCUGCCUUAGUUUCAGCAAGCUAUCCGUCUGACCCAAAUACAUUUUGUGUGAACUUAGUUCUAGAAAUUUGACCAAUAUUAAUGCUAUGCACCCAGAGAAAAUAUUAAUUUUGGUCGGAUUGGUUGAGUGUUAGUAAAAAAAAUGAAUCAUUGGUUGAGGGUUAGUCAUAAGUAAAAUCAAUUAAGCUCUUGGUCUAUGAGUUACCAUGAUACACUUGUUCAUGAUAAAAUAAUAUAUGCCCUGGAGAAUAGCUCAAUCCAUCUUUAGGACAUUUUAAUUCAAAAGGGACUGAAUGUAUUAAGCAUUCUUUCAGCCUCUUCAUCAAAAAAAGUGCAACUUGUAGUACUAGUUUAAUCACUAAUUUGGAGGCAAAUGCAGUCCCAAGAAUCACAUUUAAUUAGUCCAACACAAAAAUAGAGUAGGCCAAUGCCUUUCUUAGAGAGACAAAUACAGGAGAUACGGGGAAUUGGAAACUAUUCGUGAGAGAGAUUUGAUUAUUAGAGUGUGAGAGAUUCGUAAUGCCUAUUUGGGCGUAACUAAUUGGUGAGCUUUCUCUAGAAUGAUAAAAGAUUUGGAUUUUGAUAUUAUUCGUUAAUAGAUUUUUAUUGCUGUGGAUCGUGGCUUUGUAGGUGGAAUCCAUUGGCGAUUUCAUUAUUCCUUCUGCUGCAAUAUUUGGCGUGUUAAAAAAAUUGAAGGAUAAAUAACUAAUUAAAAAAUUAAUAUUUUGUGGAAAGGUCAAACAUAUAUAUCUAUGGAUUAAUAACUUUUUUAAAUAUUAAGACGUUGACCAAGUACAUGUGUUGUUGAUAAUGUAUGGUAAGGUCGUCUGUGACUAUAUAAUCAUACAUGAAUUGUCUAGGGAGAAUUAUAGUUUUCUAGACUUGAUCAACUGCACAGUCAAUUAAAAUAUCUCUUUGUAAACAAUAUUCUUUGCAACAUCUUCAGUUGGACAUUCUUCGUCAUCGAUCAGCACCUUCAGUCCUUCCUUGUUUGUCACUCUUGAUAGUGCCACAUAUAGUUGUCCAUGGCAGAACACUUGCUUAGGCAAAUAUAUGCCUACCGUGUUGAAGGACUGACCUUGGCUCUUGUUUAUUGUCAUUGCAAAGCAGACUGAUAAUGGAUAUUGCCUUCUUUUCAGCACAAAUGGCCAUUUUGAGUCGCUUGGUGACAUGAUGAUUCGAGGUAUGUAUACCUUAUCGCCGACGUGUGUUCCUGUGAUUAUUUGUGUCUCGAUGUAUUUGUUUCCAAGUUGUGUAAUUGUCAUUCUUGUACCAUUGCAUAAACCUGCUGCUUGGUUGAUGUUGCGUAGGACCAUUACCGGCAAACCCACCUUCAGUUUUAACUUAUGGUCUGGGAUUCCUGGGACGUCAAGGUGUUGAGGAACUCAGUAGGUUCCAUGUUCAUCAUGAUGUUGGUGUUUGUCGUAGCCUUGCACACUGUGUCCAGGCUUAGGAAUGUCACCUCUUCACCUUGUAUUUGGGUCAUUUAUUUCCCUGACUGUAUCCUUUCUUGGACAUAGUAUUGCUCUUUCUUCUAGGUAAUCCCGCUCACGGUAUUUUUGCAGCAAGUUUGGGUAUAUGCUUUUGAUGAUUUGUUCUUUACGAUUUUAUCCUUUCUCUAGCAGUAGGUCCUUUGGUAUUUUUAUCCAAUCCUCUCCUUCAUCUGAUGUUGUUUUCCCAUCGCCAAACUGUAGUAUCCACUCUGCAAAUUCAGCGACUUCUUGCUUUUGUAUUGGAUCAUCUGACAAAUACUUCAGCCGCGUGUUUUGUGUUAACUCAAAUAUUUCAAAGUGUUUCCACAGAUAUGACCUUUUGAUUGAAGCAUUAACUAUCUGCUCUCUCCUUCCUUUCGUUAUAACUGGCAGGAUUUGUCUGAAGUCGCCUCCUAGUAUAACUGUCAUUCCACCAGAUGGAUUUUCAUCGUUGUUUUCAUUAGUGAAUCUGAGAAUAUCUCUAAGGCUUUUGUCUAGUGCCUCAAAGCAGUGUUUGUUUGCCAUAGGAGCUUCAUCCUACAAUAUAAGUGAGGUCUUCUUUAGCAGUUCACGCAAAUGCGAGGCUUGUUUUAUUUCACACGUUGAUUCUUCAAUGAUAUUAAGUGGAAUACGGAACCUUUAGUGUGUUGUUCUUCCACCUUGGAGAAGCAACGCUGCAAUGCCACAUGAUGCUACCGCAAGCACUAUCUUCCCCUCUGAUCUUACCUUUGUCGUUAUUGCUUUCCAUAGAUAGGUUUUUCAUGUGCCACCGUUGCCUUCGACAAAUAUCUGCUUUUCGAGCCCAUUGUCGACUAACUCCAUUAUUGCAUCAUAGGCUUUUUUCUGGUCUUGGUUAAGAUUGUUUAGUAUCAUUUUGUGUUCAUCCUUGAGUUUGUCCAUGUCAUAGUUGACCUCUUCGUUUAUUAGUCUGUUCCCAAGUUCGUCUAGCUCUGUGGCAUUUGGUAGUUCUAUGUCUGGAUAGUCCUUUAGUGACUUUUCUACUUGCCUCAUCAGUUUUUCUAUCUCAAUUAGACCAUACGCUUUCUUCUAUGUGUUGGUGAGCUGAAGUACUGGAAAGUUAGAACAGUCCUUCUUUUGUAUUGCAUAUCUUCACAUAGCGCCUCCCUUGUUGAAUCCCACAAUACCUUUGGGUUUGUGAAUUUGCAAUGGGAUAAUAUGGUGGUGAAUAACUGACGCAGUUGUGUUCCGGAUGCCCAACUUGAUGCUUCAUUGAUACAGUCAAUCCACUUAGUGUCAUCAUCGAGAAAUCCGAGGGCUUGGCAUGCUGAUUUGUAUGUUGGGUGAGUGACUCCAUCAAUGGUUCUAAUGUCCUCAAAUGAUGUGCAUCCUUUCUUGGUGUUUAGAAGCAUCCUCAUAUGAUAUUUCUCGCCACUUGCGGGAUGUGCAUAGUAGAUUCUUCCAAUUGCAUAGUCCCUUUUUUGCUCCAGCCAACAUUUUGUUUUGCUUUUCCAUACAAACUUUGUAGGGAUUCUGCGUAAGUCAAUUCUUUUCCUAGCUCGUAUAUUUUAUUUGCCUCCAUCCACUGAGUGAACUUGGUAAUUUUAGAUCCUUCUCUUGUUACUAUCUUUUCAAGAUCAGUGGAGUCUGGAAAAAUGACUUGUUGCUCAUUUUCAAGAUGGAAAGGUAGCCUCUUAACUGCUGGAUCACGAUACUGAAGAUCAAACUGAAAUAUCCUCCAGCAUGCUUCUGAUGUUGAUAUGUAUCUCAUCUCUAGGUAUUUCUUGAUCUCGUCAGUUUCGUUUGCCGCACCCCUUUCCUUCAGCAAGGCUGUGACAUGGUCGUCAUCUUUAUGGAUAUACUUAAAUAGGUACUUGAUUGAUCUGGACCUAUUGCACCACUCGACAUUUAUAUGAGCUUGAAAUUUGACCAGAAGAUUCUGGUUGUAUGGCACAACAAAUCUGUUGUCGAGCAUUACCCCUCCCGUUUUGAUCUGCCUUCUGUCAUCCCUCCUUUUAUAUACUGGAAAUCUGUCCUCGUCAAUGGUAGUACUGGCAUUGUAUCUUUUUGGGAAAUGCUUGGUGCAUCUAUGGUCCACCAUGCAUGGUGAGUUUUUCUUAGCCUCUCCGCACGGGCCAUGCAUCAUGAAGUUCUCAACAGCUUCAAAUGCCUCCGGAUCCCAUCCUUGUUUGGGAUCUCAACGCUUAUUAUUUUGUCGAUUUGCGAUGGUCCUGGGUACUUUUCUUUGUCCUUCAAAAAUAUUAGUAUGUGGGCAUGAGCGAGUCCUCUCUUCUGGAAUUCUAUUGCGUAGAUGAGUGCAGUUGAUUAAUAGUUUGCCAGAUUUAGCUAAAGUUGGAAUGCAUGUUACUAAAGAGCUAGAAUUUGACGGAGUAUAAGAUGAUGCAUGCUACUAAAGAGCAAGUCUGACGGACUAUAAGAUGAUGCAUGAAAGAGUAAAGAUUGAUAGUCAAUGGGACUUACUUGCAACUGUUUCUCCAAAGUAUUUAUUUUCUUUUAUGUCUCUCAUUAGCUCCUUUAGUUUGAUCAUAAAUACUCUGUCCACAAUAUCUGGCCGAUCGGCUGGUUUUUGGCCACCACCCGCUUCAUCUAGCAUGUAUUGGAUCUCAGGCCACUUUGCAUUGCAUGUGAAUGUUAUAAAUAGGUCUGGGUAUCCAGCCCAACGACAUAUUGCAAAGGCAUCUUGCAGAUAUUGUGCCUUGUUUCUUCUACCACCUGUAAAAGAUGAAGGCACAAUUAUCAUUUUUCCAACUUGCUCUGUUCUUGUGUCCCCUUGCUCAAUCGCAUCAUGCAAUCCACUAUAAAGUUCAGUUUGUAGCUUUCCUUGAUUGUGUCGGAUCCAAUUUAGUGUAUUUUGCUCGAUACAUGUGUAUACAUCCACCCAAAAUUGCAGCGACAGAUGCCCAGACUUAAGCAGUAACAUUCCUUGAUCAGGACGUUGUUGUAGGUAGAAUGCAUAGUAGUCCAACAACAUUACGUAUUUCCUGCUGUUUGUAGCUCCCUUUGUUUUCUUGUAGGGUAUCUCAAGUUUAAAACCAUCUUCUCCGUAUGGAAACAACAACGGAUAUUGCAUGGACAUGAAUUUCGGGUGGAUCUCUGAUAUCCAUUGCGGCUCCAUAUUUUUGUACUCAACAACAAUGUCAUGUCCUUCACUCUCUCUGGUUGGAUCUCUUACUACCAAUGCUGCAACUUCAGAUGCAGGUGGAAGGUUGUGUGUUUCGUUCCUUUUGCCUAGUAUCCGAAGUGUGUAAUCAUGGUAGUCUCCUUCUUGGAAUCUAUCUCUUGCCAUUCUGAAUGUUUUUGCGAGGAUGUUGUUGUCGUCAAGCAUUAUUUUCAGUUUUUUGACAAUGUUGGGGCCCACUGUUGAUUUAUUAGCAUUGCAUCUUGACGCACUUAUCCUGUUUCCACCUCAUUUUCGGUAUUAUAGAUGUAUAGCUGUGCGAACCGAGGUUUGUCUGUACCUUGAGGCAAAAGAGUUCCGAUAUGGUGGUAGUUCUAUCCAUGCAAACGAAAAACAUAAGGUCCUUUGCGAGUAUUUAUUUCCUUGUCCACAACUCCUCCCAUCGAUGUGAAUGAGAACAUUGAGUUGUAUGACCUUAUACUUUCUUUGAAGUUUACCGAAUCCUGCCCUUCACUUCUUAGGAGGUUUCUGGGGUAUGGUGGAGGUUCUCUUAGUGGCGGCAGAUCGAUUUUCCCCUGUUUGCAGCAUAUUCCAAAAGAGGGUGCUGUAGUUCCUUUGUUUGAACUUAAUCUUUCCUCACACCAUAGCAAUGCUUUGCAAUAUUGGCAUUUGUAUAUUGGCCUUCCGAAGUUCCAUGGCUUUCUAUUAGCACUUGUCAAGGUUCUGGUUCUGUUGUUGUCUCCAACAUUGACUCUAAUGUUGUUUCUGUUGGUAUCGCUUCUUGCGCGCUUCAAUUCCUUAUCUUCUUCAGCAUUAGCCUUUCUGAAUCGUUUAGGAUCCUCUGUGUUUGUGUUUGUGUUUCUUCUUCCCUCUCCAGUCCUUGUCCGCUUUGUACUCCUUGAGUUUAGAGGUUGUUCUUUCUUUCUUUUUGUAUGGUGAGCUGCUGGAGGUGACAUAUGUUGGACUCUCAUACCUGCAAAUGUGAUUUCGUCAAUGCGUAUAGAGUUUUCUUAACAUAGUAUCAUGUAAUAUGAUUUAUGUUGUACUUAAUGAUGUUUUGCUGUUGCAGAUAUGCAAGUGCAUUUGGAGAUAUAAGGGACUACUAAUGAAGAUGUCACAUACAGUACAGUUGGAGAUCAAUGUUAUUUAUCUGGUAGGGCGCUAUAAAUAAAAAAUUGUUCAACCAUGUUGCUCUUUUUGUAGCUUUCACAUCACUAUCAUGGUAGUAUCAGGAUGCAUGAAAAAAGUGAUUUAUAGUUUAGUAUCAGAAGAGUUUUGAGAUAGAAUAUUAGAAGCAAGGUUGAGCUGAUAUCAAAAUGCAGGGGAAAACUUGAAGAAUUGCAUGUGGAUAUUACCCAAGGUUGAUGGUGCCGAUGCCGUGUCUUCAGUUUGUUGGGCGUUUCUUUGUGCCUUCGAUCGUUUCGGCAUCGCGGGCGUAUAUUGGAUGCAAGUUGCUGGAGUUGUUACCAUGCCUUCAAUUUGUCGGCCGUCUCGUCCCUUUGAUUGUCCUGAUAUCUUGAAUAAGGAUCUAUUGAGAAAGUGCAUCAUGGGUCAUUUAGAAAUGUUUGUCUUGUAAAAAUAUAGUUGAAAUUAUGUGAUAUAAGCAGAAGGGAUGAGUGUGUGACCAUACCUCUUAUUUGUUUUCUGAGACUGAUCUAGCAAUUUGUAUCUUCACGUAGGGAUUUGUAUUAUUUAAAUUACCUGAGAGCAGAGGUUCUAUGAGAAUAUGUUAGCUUGUAAUAAGGAUGUCAAAAUAAUAUGCUUAUUAAAAAGAGGAAAUACAUAAUACCCUGAAGCCUUUUCCUGUUUAUUA
rnacentral:lncRNA from 1 species